UCAGACAUGGUGUAGUGGUAACAUGGCCUCUCUCUAUCGGAUUAUUUCUUCUUCUCCUGAGGCAGUCCCGGGUUCGAACCCCGGUGUCUGAA